rnacentral:rRNA from 1 species
AAUGAACGCUGGCGGCGUGCCUAACACAUGCAAGUCGAACGAGAAAGCGGACUUCGGUCUGCAAGUACAGUGGCAGACGGGUGAGUAACACGUGGGUAAUCUGCCCGAAGGUGGGGGAUAACGUCCCGAAAGGGGCGCUAACACCGCAUAAUAUCUCGAGCUUCUCGGAGCAUGAGAUCAAAACUUGCCUCUUCUUGAAAGCAAGUGCCAUCGGAGGAACCCGCGCCCCAUUAGCUUGUUGGUGAGGUAACGGCUCACCAAGGCUGCGAUGGGUAGCCGGCCUGAGAGGGUGAUCGGCCACACUGGAACUGAGACACGGUCCAG